UUGGACCAGGUGGUGUUAGCGUUUUCGUUGUAUAUCUUAUUAUGGAGAAGAACGAUCAGCUGAUCGCGCCGGAUCAGACCACGCAGACGCUUGUAUGUCGUCACUUCCGCCUCAAAACAUAAUUAGGAUCAUUAGCAUUUGGCGAGUGGCGGGUCCACCACUGGGAAUCCAUUAUAGCUGACCACCUUCAGAAUCUCAACUAUGUGCCCGACGUUCUCUACCGUCCUCAGUGUGAACACGGGGUGUGACAUGACCUCGGACGCGUAUAUAUUGUGGGUGAGAGGCGGGGGCUCCCAGGGCAGCAGUGGAACACCAGCCAAUUGGAUGUGAAUGUCGUAUAUACCCUGGAUUUAAACACAUUUAUUACGUUACACAUAACAGUGAUUUAGAUCCUUGUCCAUUAAUUAAUAUUAUGUUUGUUGAAAUUUUUUUCAUAGAUUUUAGCACUUGUAGCUUGUUUAUCAUCAUGAUCAAUAUCUUUGAAAAACAGACGUAGAUUAUAGUCAUUUUUUAGAUUUUUUUGACACUUUCAUUGUUUUUUUUUUUUGUUGGUGAAAUCAAAUAAAGAUAGUAAAUGACCUCGUUAAAGAAGUCCCCUGUCCACUUGGCGACUACCAGUGUGAUGAUGAUGGGCAGCGCGUUCGAUAUCUGUCCCGUGGUCUCUAUAAUGAUGACCGUCAGUGAUAUGGUCAUACGGACGACUCCACCUAACUGAGCCGCAGCACCCACCAGUGCGUACUUCGCGGGAUUGAUGCUCUGAUGAUGGAAUGAAAGAAUAUGUACGUUGUCUCCCCCAGGCCGCUCCAGUCAGCAAGUUCGGUAUGAACAGGCCACUGGACACCGCCAGGCCGAAGGUCCACGUUGAUAGGAGGAAGUACACCACCACGAACACCAACAACGACCAUGGUUUAUAUGAGCCCAUGGGGUCGUGCAGGAACGAUCUCACUGACGCUUCGGGCGUUUGGAACCAGAUCGCUGCUAAUGUAUUGUACUCGCCAUCAGCGCAGAAUAACUGAAAAUAUAUAAUUGCUUGUAUAAA